rnacentral:rRNA from 1 species
CAGCCGCCGCGGUAAAACGGAGGGAGCUAGCGUUAUUCGGAAUUACUGGGCGUAAAGCGCACGUAGGCGGCUUUGUAAGUUAGAGGUGAAAGCCUGGAGCUCAACUCCAGAAUUGCCUUUAAGACUGCAUCGCUUGAAUCGCGGAGAGGUGAGUGGAAUUCCGCGUGUAGAGGUGAAAUUCGUAGAUAUUCGGAAGAACACCAGUGGCGAAGGCGGCUUACUGGCUCAUUCUAGACGCUGAGGUGCGAAAGCGUGGGGAGCAAACAGGAUUAGAUACCCGAGUAGUCCCUGUCUCUUAUAC